GCCCGGAUAGCUCAGUCGGUAGAGCAGGGGAUUGAAAAUCCCCAUGUCCUUGGUUCGAUUCCGAGUCCGGGCACCA
rnacentral:tRNA from 1 species